GACCUGUAUGAAUGGCAUAACGAGGGCUUAGCUGUCUCCUUUUUCAAGUCAAUGAAAUUGAUCUCCCCGUGCAGAAGCGGGGAUAAGCACAUAAGACGAGAAGACCCUAUGGAGCUUUAGACACCAAGGCAGACCAUGUUAAACACCCCAAAACAAAGGACCAAACCAAAUGACCCCUGCCCUAAUGUCUUUGGUUGGGGCGACCGCGGGGAAACACAAAACCCCCACGUGGAACGAGAACACCUCCUCUCACAACCAAGAGCUCCCGCUCUAAUAAACAGAAAUUCUGACCAAUAAGAUCCGGCAAGGCCGAUCAACGGACCGAGUUACCCUAGGGAUAACAGCGCAAUCCCCUUUUAGAGGCCAUAUCGACAAGGGGGUUUACGACCUCGAUGUUGGAUCAGGACAUCCUAAUGGUCCAGCCGCUAA
rnacentral:rRNA from 1 species